rnacentral:rRNA from 1 species
UACGUAGGGUGCAAGCGUUAAUCGGAAUUACUGGGCGUAAAGGGCUCGUAGGCGGCCAACUAAGUCGGAUGUGAAAUCCCCAGGCUCAACCUGGGAACUGCAUCCGAUACUGGAUGGCUUGAAUUCGGGAGAGGGAUGCAGAAUUCCAGGUGUAGCGGUGAAAUGCGUAGAUAUCUGGAGGAAUACCGGUGGCGAAGGCGGCAUCCUGGACCGACAUUGACGCUGAGGAGCGAAAGCCAGGGGAGCAAACGGG